UCAGGAUGAACGCUGGCGGCGUGCCUAAUACAUGCAAGUCGAGCGAGGGUAGCAAUACCCGAGCGGCGAACGGGUGAGUAACACGUAGGUAACCUGCCUUUGAGACUGGGAUGCCCGGACGAAAGUUCGGCUAAUACCGGAUAACAACGGGGACGGCAUCGUCUCCGCUUGAAAGGUGCGUUUGCACCACUCUUAGAUGGACCUGCGGCACAUUAGCUAGUUGGUGAGGUAACGGCCCACCAAGGCGAAGAUGUGUAGCCGACCUGAGAGGGUGAACGGCCACAAUGGAACUGAGACACGGUCCAUACUCCUACGGGAGGCAGCAGUAGGGAGUUUUCGGCAAUGGGGGAAACCCUGACCGAGCAACGCCGCGUGAAGUGAGAAGGUCUUCGGAUUGUAAAGCUCUGUUACGAGGGACGAAUGACGAGUUCAGGAAAUGGGAUUCGUUUGACGGUACCUCGCCAGAAAGUGACGGCUAACUACGUGCCAGCCGCGGC
rnacentral:rRNA from 1 species